rnacentral:rRNA from 1 species
CCUACGGGAGGCAGCAGUGGGGAAUAUUGCACAAUGGGCGAAAGCCUGAUGCAGCGACGCCGCGUGAACGAAGAAGUAUUUCGGUAUGUAAAGUUCUAUCAGCAGGGAAGAAAAAUGACGGUACCUGACUAAGAAGCUCCGGCUAAAUACGUGCCAGCAGCCGCGGUAAUA